CCAGUAAUAAAGGCUAAUUGAGCUGAGAAUAUAAAGAGGACGCUGAUAGCAGAAUUAAUUCACACUUGGAGCUUUAACCAGAGCUAGCAGCACCGGCGUUGUUAGCUCCAUUUCCUGCACUUUUUUUUUUACCGCAUGCAUUUCAGGGGAAGAAAAUAAAAGAGGCUGACAAAUUGCCAUUCUGUUCAGGCUGCAAAAUAAUUUCCGAGUAAACACACCAGCCAUAGCAGACUGACUUUGACAAAAAAUUGGGAGAGCAAACCAUGGAUUUCAAUACGUGUUGUAGUUUGUGAGACCUGACAAGUGGAGAUCAGAGACACGUGAACAGAUCAACCCAUUUAAAUGAACACAUGACCUUUAAUGGAACUGAGCUUUCUAAUCCUUCGCUGACCUGCAGAGGACCGUUGUGGCACAAACCAGGUACAAUAAACUCAUCGUUUUGCUGUAUGAAAGAUACUAGUGACAGCUUUCAAAGAUUAAAGUUCAAAAUGCAGUAAAAUACUCAUGGCAAGUCCUAAAUUAUAAAGUUAUAUUUACACUUAUAUAUAUAUAUAUUAUGAACAAAUAAGUAAUUGCUCGCAAUUUCCACUCAUGUCAAUCUAGCAAGUAAUCUAUUGCCACUUUCUCUUCCAUCAUGUUAAAAUAUAUAUCUUAUUUUAAUAGUAAAUUACUCUGCAUACCUUACAUUUUCAAAAUAAAACAUUCUGAUUGCAA